ACAUAUAAACCCACAGCCACUGUGGGUGGAAGGAGAAGGGCAGGGUGGAAAAAGCUUGAGAGAAGGAGGGAGGAAAAGGUGUCCUGGCUAGCACCAUGUGGAUUCUCUUGAGAUGAGAAGAAAAUGCCUGGCUACGUCCCCCUUCUGCUGCUCCUGCUUCUCCUGAGGUGUUCAGAACGGGGUGGGGGAGUUAAUUUUGGUGAGAAGGAUGCAAAAGUCCCCAGGACCUGGAGAGAUGGAGUCAGGGUCCCUGAAGAAGCCUCUUGGGACUCAGACAGGGCCAGUCCUGAGCGAAGAAAGAGUGUUUCCUGCCUCUAUUAAAUCCAUCCACCAGGGUUAUUUAUCAUCCCCAUGUCAUGGACUACAGUACACCAUAAAGAGGACCCCAGCAGUGACUACAGUUGGUUCUAGAAAAAGCAGACCCCUCAUCCGCCUCUGCAGGACUAUGCAGGGUGAUGUGCAUCCUCAGGCCUCCACUCCUCCGCCCCAGUCUGGAGCCCUGGGACCACCACAUGAGGAAGGCAGCUGGCCCCUGGAAUAAGCAUG
rnacentral:lncRNA from 1 species